rnacentral:tRNA from 2 species
GGAGAGGUGCCAGAGUGGUCGAAUGGGGCACCCUGCUAAGGUGUUAGCUGUGAAAACGGCUCGAGGGUUCGAAUCCCUCCCUCUCCGCCA